GCGGGCGUGGCGAAAUGGCAGACGCGCGAGGUUUAGGUCCUCGUUCCGGAAGGAGUGUGGGUUCGACUCCCACCGCCCGCA
rnacentral:tRNA from 1 species